GGCACGGUAGUGUAGUGGGUAGCACUUGCCUCACAGCAAAAAGCUUGUGGGUUCGAAUCCAGCCUUGGGUCU